rnacentral:rRNA from 1 species
AGAACGAACGCUGGCGGCAUGCCUAACACAUGCAAGUCGAACGAGACCUUCGGGUCUAGUGGCGCACGGGUGCGUAACGCGUGGGAAUCUGCCCUUGGGUUCGGAAUAACAGUUAGAAAUGACUGCUAAUACCGGAUGAUGACGAAAGUCCAAAGAUUUAUCGCCCAGGGAUGAGCCCGCGUAGGAUUAGCUAGUUGGUGAGGUAAAGGCUCGCCAAGGCGACGAUCCUUAGCUGGUCUGAGAGGAUGAUCAGCCACACUGGGACUGAGACACGGCCCAGACUCCUACGGGAGCAGCAGUGGGAAUAGUGGACAAGUGGGACGAAAGCCUGAUCCAGCAAUGCCGCGUGAGUGAUGGAGGCCUUAGGGUGUAAAGCUCUUUACCGGAUGAUAAUGACAGUACCGGAGAAUAAGCUCCGGACUAACGUCCGUAGCCAGCAGCCGUAC